rnacentral:rRNA from 1 species
CAAUGGACGCAAGUCUGACCCAGCAACGCCGCGUGAAGGAAGAAGGCUUUCGGGUUGUAAACUUCUUUUAAGGGGGAAGAGCAGAAGACGGUACCCCUUGAAUAAGCCACGGCUAACUACGUGCC